rnacentral:rRNA from 1 species
CCUACGGGGGGCUGCAGUCGAGAAUCUUCCUCAAUGGGCGAAAGCCUGAAGGAGCGACGCCGCGUGUAUGAAGAAGCCUUUCGGGGUGUAAAGUACUUUUAACUGUGACGAAACAAUGACGGUAGCAGUUGAAUAAGGGGCUGCUAACCUCGUGCCAGCAGCAGCGGUAAUACGAGGGCCCCAAGCGUUAUCCGGAUUUAUUGGGCGUAAAGCGUCCGUAGGUGGUUUAUCGCAUCUCCUGUUAAAUCUCGAGGCUCAACCUCGAGUCAGCGGGAGAGAUGGAUAAGCUAGAGACUGGAAGAGGUACACGGAAUUGCUGGUGUAGGGGUUAAAUCCAUUAAUAUCAGCAAGAACACCAAAUGCGAAGGCAGUGUACUAGGACAGUUCUGACACUCAGUGGACGAAAGCGUGGGGAGCGAAUGGGAUUAGAUACCCCUGUAGUC